UAAACUGCCAAGGAGUGUGAGUGCAUGAGCACUGUCUGUGUUGGUAUUUUAACGGAAGUCAGGCAGGAGUUGCCUCUCUUGAUAUAUUUCCAACAGAGGACAAAAUGGGUCUGGCUGAUGGAAUUUAUAGAGUUGUAUUUAGGCGAACUUCAACAUUUGCUGUAGCUAUUCUUGGUUCUGCCAUUGUAUUCGAUGCAUAUUUUAAUGAUUUCUUUGACAGAUGGAUAGCACAACAUAACGCAGGCAGGCGGUAUGAAGAUUUGAGGAAGAUUUAUCCUGAGGGUGCCGGCGGUGGUGAAGAUGAUGAAUAAUAGGAAUAACUGUAGGAAAUCUAGGGACAAUACGGACUACUGGUUUAUAUGUGAUGUGAUGUGAUGUUAAGAAUCAACAAAACUCUCAGAAAAUGAAGUCACAUGUAUGAUUGUGAUAUUAUUGUUUGUGAAAUUUGAAAAAAACAACACAUUAAUAUAAAAAUAUUUCUUUUAAAAGUU